GCAUGAGGAACACUUGAGGUUAGUGUUGCAAACAUUGAGGGAUAAUCAAUUAUAUGCUAAGUUGAGCAAAUGUGAGUUUUGGGCUACGGAGGUUAAAUUCCUAGGUCAUGUGAUUAAGCAAGAGGGCAUUGCGGUAGAUAACUCUAAGGUCGAAUCCGUGUUGAAUUGGGAGAGGCCUAAAAAUGUUUCGGAGAUUAGGAGUUUCUUGGGAUUAGCGGGGUAUUAUAGGAGGUUUAUCCAAGACUUUUCACGUGUUGCUGCACCUAUGAUGCAACUCACGUAGAAAGGUACACCGUUUGUGUGGUCGGAUGAGUGUGAGAAAGCUUUUGAGGAGUUGAAGGGUAGAUUGACGUCUCCACCGGUAUUAGUGGUUCCGGAGAGGAGUGUAGGAUACCAAGUGUAUUAUGAUGCUUCUAGAGUGGGGUUGGGUUGUGUGUUGAUGCAAAGAGAUAGGGUAGUAGAGUAUGGUUUAGAUUGUUGAAGAUACAUGAGAAAAACUAUCCGGUUCAUUAUUUGAAGUUACUGGCAAUUGUAUUUGCAUUGAAUCAACUUAGAUAUUAUCUUUAUGGCGAGAAAUUUGAGGUCUUUUCGGAUCACAAAAGUCUUAAGUAUUUAUUUACUCAAAGAGAGUUGAAUUUGCGACAAAGGAGGUGGAUGAAGUAUUUAGGGGACUAUGACUUUAGUUUACAAUAUCACCCGGGUAAGGCAAAUGUGGUUGCGGAUGCAUUGAGUAGAAAGCAUAUAGUUGCUAGUUUGUUUAUAUAUGAGUGGGGAAUUGUAGGGAUAAUAAGUCAAAAUUUGGUUUGGGAUUGCAAAGUAUAGAGGAAAAGGUGUAUUUGGGUAGUAUGACUUCUAGACCGAUGUUGAUUCAAAAGGUGAUGGAUACACAGAAUGGGGACCCGAUUUUUGAUACAUUUGAGGAGGACUCCGGAUGGGUUCGGGGUGAUAAUGGAGGUGUGAGGUUUGCGGGGAGAUUGAUAGUACUCGAUGACAAGGAGCUACAAGAGGAGAUCUUGAAAGAAGCACACCAUUCUCGAUUUGCUAUGCAUCCCGGAGGCACGAAGAUGUACCAAGACUUGAGAAGAAACUUUUGGUGGAGAGACAUGAAGGCCGAUGUAGCUAGAUUUAUGGCAAGAUGCUUGACAUGUCAACAAGUGAAGGUGGAACACCAAAGGCCGGCGGGUUUGCUACAACCCCUACCAGUGGCACAAUGGAAAUGGGAGAUGAUCACUAUGGACUUUGUGACAGCAUUGCCGAUGACACCUAAGCAAAAUGAUAGCAUUUGGGUGAUAGUCGAUAGAUUGACCAAAUCAGCUCACUUCCUAUUGAUGAACAAGACGGACACCUUAGAGUCAUUAAGCACAUUGUACGUGCAGGAGAUAGUGCGACUCCACCGAGUGCCACUAUCCAUUGUGUCAGAUCGAGACCCGCGAUUCACGGGUAGAUUUUGGGGCAGUUUGCAGGAGGCCUUAGGGAUAUAGUUGGAUUUCACUACACCAUAUCAUCCAUAGAGUGAUGGGCAGAGUGAGAGGACUAUCCAGAUUUUAGAGGAUAUGCUACGUGCUUGUGUGGUAGAUUUUGGUGGUAAUUGGGAGAAAUACCUGCGUUUGGCAGAGUUUGUGUACAACAACUCAUACCAGAGUAGCAUUGGGAUGGCACUAUUGAAGCACUUUAUGGGAGGCCUUGUAGGUCACCAUUGUGUUGGGCGAAGGUUGGAGAGAAAGCAGUAUCGAGACUCAAAAUGGUGAAGGAGGCGAGAGACGGAAUUGAAAAGAUUAGAAAAAGGUUGAUCACGGCUCAAAGUAGGCAAAAGUUUUAUGCAGAGAAGAAGAGAAUGCCAUUGGAAUUUGCGGUUGGGAACAAGGUAUUUUUGAAGGUUAGUCCACAACGUGGCAUUCAAAGGUAUAGCAAACAAGCGAAGUUGACACCGCGGUUUGUGGGACCUUUUGAAAUCCUUGAGCUAGUUGGACUAGUAGCCUAUCGUUUAGCGCUUCCACCAAAAUUGGCUAAAGUUCAUAAUGUGUUUCAUGUUUCUAUGAUACAAAAAUAUGAGCCGGAUCCAUCACAUGUUUUAGAUUGGACCACAUUGGAAGUGGAGGAAAAUGGAAGCUACACUCUUCAACUGAUGAGGAUUUUGGAUCGAAAGGACAAGGUCACAAAAUCAAGUGCGAUACCAUUGGUUAAAGUCUUGUGGAUGCAUCACGACACGGAAGAGGUGACUUGGGAGCUUGAGUCAAAGAUGAAGGAGAAAUAUCCGUAUUGAUUCGCAAGUCUAGGUAAGUACGUAAAUUUCGAGGGUAAAAUUUUUAUAUGGAGGGGAGGAUGUAAUGCCCCUUUCUAAUAAAAAGGAAAGAAAAAUAUAAAAUAAUAAAAAUAAAAUGAAUAAAUGAGACUUAGUUGUGGAAAAUAAUAAAAGUUGUGGGAUGAAGUUAGAAUGUUAUAAGAGUUUAAAGAAUAGCUGAAUUAAAGUUAGGGUCAAAUAAGUAAAAGAACAAAAAGUAAUGGAAAAAAAAAUAAUAACAUAAACAAACAAAACAAAAAUAAAUAUAAAAAAAGAAGGUAAAACGGGUGAAGGCGCAGAUGCCUUCACCCGAGUAACCUUCUUAUAUAAAAAAAAAAAAAGAAGGUUGCUUUGCUUCUUCUCAAACCACACCACGGCAGCUCCACUUCCGGCGAUUUUCCGGCGAAGCUCCAGAUGGUAAUGACGCUCCAAGCUUGAAACCUACACCCACACUCCAUUCGAUUAAAGAAGAGAGAAGGAUUAAGGUUCAAGGGUGGUUCUUGAACCAAUUCAAGAUGAGACUUUGCUUUCUUCAUUUGGUGAAACUAACAAGUUUCAAGGUGGGCUAUUCAGGGUUCCUAUGAAUAUGGGAAUGCCGGUGGGCCGAGUCAGGAUUUCACAUGUACGUGUACUUGAGGCACCAUGCGGUGAUGUCGUUGGGCUGUUCAGGGUCCCGAUGAGUGUGGGGAUGCCGGUGGGCCAAGUUAGGAUUUCGUAUGGUGAGUCUAGUUUCGGUACCAGGGUUGCAGAUCAGGAGGAGCGUGCGUGACAUGGAUAGGCCUAUGGAGAAGAAUAAGACUAGAUGGUUCUAAAAUUUGAUUAUGUUACUAGUAUUUUAUCAUACUUGUUUUCCUUGAUUGAGACAUGUUGUGUGACACCUCAAUUCGAUGGUUGGAUGGACGGUUGGGAGGGUGCUCCGUGUGAUCAGGACUCCCGAACCGGGUUUGUGGACUUCGUGUCCUGACAAUUGAUUAUGCAUGCAGGUUGUUUGAUUAUACAUGUUAUUGUGUGUGGAAAUUUAUAUGUGAUUGUUAGGUGGCCUGAGACCCUGCUUAAAUUUGAGAAUUUAUCGAUGAUAUGAUUUGUUAGGUGGCCUGAGGCCCUGCCUAGGAUUGGGAAUGUAAUUGUAAUAUUUGUUG